AAAUGUGGAAAUAUAGAUGAUGAAGUUUUCAUCAAGUGCAUAGGAUGUAGUGAUAGGUGAUAGUUUAUAUUACUGUAUUUAUCCAGAUAUAAAUGAAAUAUCUAUUCAUUUCUACUCCUCAAUUGGUUAGAACAGAUGAUUCCUUUUCUGUUUUUCCCUCUCCUAAACCCCUCUGGGUUUCUUAACAUUUCAUUAUCCAUAGGAGACAUCCUGGUUUACAUAGUGGCCCCAUGCAGACUUUGAAAAAAGCUUGGAUGUCAAAAAUUUCAAAGGCAAAACAUUCUCCAGGAAGAUUAUGGUGUUCUGGAUCCUAAUUUGAGAAGCACAGCACUGAAAUGAAGCAGAGUAAGGAGACUCAGAACUUGGGGCCUGACAUUCCACACAGUGACUGUACGAUCUUGGAUAAGAGCUCACCUUCCCCAACUAUAAAAUAAAGGAAACUUCUAUAAAAGACAGAAGGUGAUUCAUCAAGCAAAUUACAUUGAUUACCUUCCCUGUUGGCCACUGAGGACUUGGAGAGAGAUACUGCUAUCAUCUCUGUUUUAUGGAUGAAAAAAAACACCCAGAGGUGAAAUACCUUGUCCAAAGCCAUAGGGGUUGAUGUGGCAGAGCUGGAAUUGAGGACUGACCUUG